UACGUAGGGGGCGAGCGUUGUCCGGAAUUAUUGGGCGUAAAGCGCGCGCAGGCGGUUUUUUAAGUUCGUGGUGAAAGACCGGGGCUCAACCCCGGAGCGUCCGCGAAGACUGGAAGACUGGAGUGUCGGAGAGGAGUGCGGAAUCCCUGGUGUAGCGGUGGAAUGCGUAGAGAUCAGGGGGAACACCGAUGGCGAAGGCAGCACUCUGGCCGAAAACUGACGCUGAGGCGCGAAAGCGUGGGGAGCGAACGGG
rnacentral:rRNA from 1 species